rnacentral:rRNA from 1 species
UACGUAGGGGGCAAGCGUUAUCCGGAAUUACUGGGUGUAAAGGGUGCGUAGGCGGUUUGUUAAGCGAGAUGUGAAAGCCCGGGGCUCAACCCCGGGACUGCAUUUGGAACUGGCAGACUGGAAUACAGGAGAGGUAAGUGGAAUUCCUAGUGUAGCGGUGAAAUGCGUAGAUAUUAGGAGGAACACCAGUGGCGAAGGCGACUUACUGGACUGUUAUUGACGCUGAGGCACGAAAGCGUGGGGAGCGAACAGG